rnacentral:rRNA from 1 species
AGCCUUUAGCCAAGCAAGUAUUAAAGGUAAUGCCUGCCCAGUGAGGGAAACCUUAAACGGCCGCGAUAAUCCGUGCAAAGGUAGCGCAAUCACUUGUCUUCUAAAUAAAGACCCGUAUGAACGGCCACAUGAGAAAGAAUCUGUCUCUUGAAGAUGACCAAUGAAACUGAUCUACCUGUACAAAAGCAGGCAUAUUAAAACAAGACAAAAAGACCCUGUGAAACUUUAAAUUACAUAUCAAGCAUAUGAUACUACUUUUUAGUUGGGGCAACUAUAGAGAAACAAAACCUCUACAAAAAUGCUAGACCAACAAGUCUAAUUAAACCUCCACCAGAUCCAGUACAACUGACCAAUGGACCAAGCUACUCCAGGGAUAACAGCGCCACAUUCUUGAAGAGUUCUUAUCGACAAGAAUACCUACGACCUCGAUGUUGGAUCAGGAUAUCCCAACGGCGAAGAAGCUGUUAAAGGUUCGUUUGUUCAACGACUAACAUCCU